rnacentral:SRP_RNA from 1 species
UACCGGUCCCCUCGCACUGCUAGGCUGCGAACCCCGCCAGGCCCGGAAGGGAGCAACGGUAGUGGCUGAUGCAGGUGCCGGGGUGUGGCUGGUAGGG